rnacentral:rRNA from 1 species
CUAGUCAUAUGGAUUGUGUCAGCAGCCGCGCGGUAAUACGGAGGAUCCAAGCGUUAUCCGGAAUCAUUGGGUUUAAAGGGUCCGUAGGUGGAUAAUUAAGUCAGAGGUGAAAUCCUGCAGCUCAACUGUAGAAUUGCCUUUGAAACUGGUUAUCUUGAGUCAUUAUGAAGUGGUUAGAAUGUGUAGUGUAACGGUGAAAUGCAUAGAUAUUACACAGAAUACCGAUUGCGAGGGCAGAUCACUAAUAAUGUACUGACACUGAUGGACGAAAGCGUGGGUAGCGAACAGGAUUAGAUACCCUGGUAGUCCACGCCGUAAACGAUGGUCACUAGCUGUGUGGAUUUCGAUCUGCGUGGCUAAGCGAAAGUGAUAAGUGACCCACCUGGGGAGUACGUUCGCAAGAAUGAAACUCAAAGGAAUUGACGGGGGCCCGCACAAGCGGUGGAUUAUGUGGUUUAAUUCGAAGUAACGCGCAGAACCUUACCUGGGCUUGAAAUCCCGAGAAGAUCGACCAAAAUUGAUUGUGCUCUUCGGAGAACUCGGUGACAGGCGCUGCAUGGCUGUCGUCAGCUCGUGUCGUGAGAUGUUGGGUUAAGUCUCGCAACGAGCGCAACCCCUAUCUUUAGUUGCCAGCAUUAAGUUGGGCACUCUAGAGAGACUGCCUGGGUUAACCAGGAGGAAGGUGGGGAUGACGUCAAGUCCUCAUGGCCCUUAUGUCCAGGGCUACACACGUAAUACAAUGGUGCAUACAAAGGGACGCGAACUGGUGACAGUAAGCAAAUCUCAAAAAGUGCAUCUCAGUCCGGAUUGGAGUCUGCAACUCGACUCCAUGAAGUUGGAAUCGCUAGUAAUCGCAGAUCAGCACGCUGCGGUGAAUACGUUCCCGGGCCUUGCACACACCGCCCGUCA